rnacentral:rRNA from 1 species
GACGAACCGUGCGAACGUUAUUCGGAAUCACUGGGCUUAAAGCGCGUGUAGGCGGAUCGCCACGUCGGGCGCUGAAAUCCCCCGGCUCAACCGGGGAACGGGCACCGAUACGGGCGGUCUGGAGGGAGGUAGGGGGGGCUGGAACUUCCGGUGGAGCGGUGAAAUGCGUUGAGAUCGGAAGGAACGCCCGUGGCGAAAGCGAGCCCCUGGACCUUUUCUGACGCUGAGACGCGAAAGCUAGGGGAGCGAACGGG